rnacentral:rRNA from 1 species
GAUGAACGCUGGCGGCGUGCCUAAUACAUGCAAGUCGAGCGAACAGAUAAGGAGCUUGCUCCUUUGACGUUAGCGGCGGACGGGUGAUUAACACGUGGAUAACCUACCUAUAAGACUGGGAUAACUUCGGGAAACCGGAGCUAAUACCGGAUAACAUAUUGAACCGCAUGGUUCAAUAGUGAAAGGCGGCUUUGCUGUCACUUAUAGAUGGAUCCGCGCCGUAUUAGCUAGUUGGUAAGGUAACGGCUUACCAAGGCAACGAUACGUAGCCGACCUGAGAGGGUGAUCGGCCACACUGGAACUGAGACACGGUCCAGACUCCUACGGGAGGCAGCAGUAGGGAAUCUUCCGCAAUGGGCGAAAGCCUGACGGAGCAACGCCGCGUGAGUGAUGAAGGUCUUCGGAUCGUAAAACUCUGUUAUCAGGGAAGAACAAAUGUGUAAGUAACUGUGCACAUCUUGACGGUACCUGAUCAGAAAGCCACGGCUAACUACGUG